rnacentral:rRNA from 1 species
CGUGCCUACGGGGGGCAGCAGUGAGGAAUAUUGGUCAAUGGGCGGAAGCCUGAACCAGCCAAGUCGCGUGAGGGAAUAAGGCCCUACGGGUCGUAAACCUCUUUUGCCGGGGAGCAAGGGCCGGGACGAGUCCCGGUCCGGAGAGUACCCGGAGAAAAAGCAUCGGCUAACUCCGUGCCAGCAGCCGCGGUAAUACGUAGGUGGCGAGCGUUAUCCGGAAUGAUUGGGCGUAAAGGGUGCGUAGGCGGCCUGCUAAGUCUGGAGUGAAAGGUACCGGCUCAACCGGUACAGGCUCUGGAAACUGG